UUUUCUCUUUUUUUUUUCUUCUCUUUUUUUCUGGCCUGCUUCUUUUGGGUCUGCUGGGCCGUUGGUCAGGCCUAGCCUGCUACUGUUGGGCUGGAGUACCUACUAGUGGGUUGCUGGUGCGGGUCGGGUCGUGUCGACCCAGCUGUAAAAAAUAAUUUUUUCUUUUUUUCUUUUUUCUUUUUUCUUUCCCCCUUUCUUUUUCCUUCUUCUUUUUCUUCUUCCUUUCUUUCUUCUUCUUCCUUGUUUGGCCCCCCACCGAUUUCUUUGCUGCUUUCGACGCUUCCUCUGCCUGUGGUGCGACGGUCGAUGAAGCUCCUCCCUUUUCUUUCUUUCUUUCUUCUUUGCUUGCUUUUUUUAUUUUCGUGGGUGUUUUUCUUUGAUGAUUUUUUUGCUUGAUUUGCUUUCUUUAACGGUGGUAGAUGGGAGUAUGCCGGUGGUGGCAGUUCGACGACGCACGGUGGCGAUGAGGCUGCUGUUUUUGCUUGAUUUCUUUUGUUUUUUCUUUUUUUUUCUUGGUUCUUCUUUUUUGGCUGCCCAUUUUGGGGGUUUUAAAACCCCUUUUAUUUUGAUUUUUCUUCUCCUUUUUUGCAGGUUGCAGGUGGCUAGGGAGGGGUAGGUCGGGUGCUGCUGUUGUAGGUACAAGUUGUGCUGGUUGCUGUCAGAAGGACCAAAAUGUAAAUGCAGUAAAAGUUUUGGGGCCAAAACC
rnacentral:lncRNA from 1 species